rnacentral:lncRNA from 1 species
AAAUAUAAAACAUUAUCCCUAGCAUUUAAUUGAUACAUAAUAUUCAUAAGGCCAUACAUUGGCCAUCAAAGCGGCUUCGUACUUAACAACCCUUAAUACAAGUUCAAAUGGCACAGCUUGCCUACAUACAUAACUAGACCAAACACAUGUAGAAGCUCACAACAAACGCAGCGUAGUGGACAUAUUGGGUGGAGACCUACUGAAUGCCAAAAUUGGUUUGUCACUAUACGACCUUUGCCAUACAUUGUUCAGUGACCUAUUUAUCUGCACAUAAUACAAAAUGGGUGAGUCAUCUAAUAUUCAGUGAGGGAUGUAGAUAAAUCAAAAUUAUAUAUAUAUACAUAUAUAUAUAUAUACAUAUAUAUAUAUAUAUACAAACAAUUAUUUAAAGUAGAACCAGUGCAACCAAACAUUCUAGCAAACAUCUCCAAUGUUAGGGGAAAUCAUCAUCCUUAAGGAGUCCCCAUAGAUAUCAUACAUAUGAAUGGGCUUGUUCUCAUAGCCAUACAAAGUUAUCCUCCUCGACACACUCUAGUCAUCAGAGUAUCAUAUUAGAUUCAGAUCAAAUUUGUCUAAGCCUAUUCGAGGCUAUCUCAUGUUGUACACCAAUCAAAUUAUAAUCAUAGAGUGGUUCUCCCUUGCACAUCAUCAAAUCAUGCACGGUGGCCGAUCGACAUAAACAAAUCACGCUCAAGGCAAAGUCGUUUGUCGAGAACAAAUUAUGCGCGUGCCAAAACAACGAGCUAAGAAAUAGAAUCAUUGAUCGGAGUAAUCUCCUUACGGUCAGCAUCACUCAGAGUAUUCUCAAACGGGUGGCAUUAAAGCACUAUAAGGUGAAAUCACAAGCGAGACAAAUACCACUGUCCUUACUUACCAUUAUCCCUGUAGGCAUAGAACAAAGUCACAAAUGGCAGACUCCACUUAACCUCAAAUCAAAUCAAUGUCCGAAAUUCAUCCAUCGGACGAAACACAUAUCCCCAAAUAAAGCCAUCAUGCCUUUAACAUUCCAUAUGUCCACAUCAAAUCAUAAAUCACAUUUUACUAGCUUCAAAUUAUCUAUAAGCUUGAUAUGGUUCUAAGUGCCUCUAAGUCUUUGAGGCAUCAAAUGCUCACAAUUCAUCAAAGGAAUCAAUUGACUAGGGUAAUCUACUUCUAGAUGUUCAUCGUAUCCUCUAAACUUUCUAGUCUAGGCUCACACAAUCAACAUAUGCCACCUAUGUAGCUUGCACUAAGACACAUAAUCACACACAAUUCCACAUUUUGUUCUCUAGCCUAGAUACAUACAUCUAGACAAACAUAUAUAUUUACAUAUAUAAUCUAUUCUAGUACCAUGGCAGUGCCUCUAAGAGGCGUUAUGCAUCACAUUCAUUUUAAUUAAAACCCAUUCAUAGUGACAAAUUAGAAGUGCUCCCACCGACAAAUUCAACUUUAACCUCUAAUCAUCCUUUAGCUUACUAAUGAAUUGAUUACUCAAUUUCCCUUUUAGAACACAUCAAAAUAUCCAAAUAUUAAUUAAAUCUUCCCUUUCGAAAAAUGUUCAAUUUUCUAAAAAUAAUCAAAUUCUUAGCAAUCCAACAUUUAAGCUGAAAUCCUUCUUUAAUGAGCUAAACCCAUAUCUUAGAAGCUAGAUUGCAUGAAUCUAAGCUUCAAAUUCUAGCAAAAUUAGGGGAGAUUCACCAAAGUUGGAAAAAUAGAAUUUCUAAGUAUUUAACCAAUUAAAUUGAAAACUAAUCGAUAAAAAUAUUUAAUCUUACCUCAAUAACGUUAAGAUCAGAUUAGCUCCAAAUUGCUCAAAAAAUCCAUUUGGGGCUUAGGGUCUCAAAUUGGUAGAGAAAGAGAGGGAGAGUUAAGGUUUUUGUUUUAAAUGGGAAAAUGACCUAGACCCUUUUAUUUUUGCCUUUCCUCAGUGAUGUAUCGAUACAUGUGGGAAUGUAUUGAUACAUUUACAUAUAUUUUGAUCAAAUCUAUCGAUACACUAUGCAAUGUAUCGAUAGAUUUCAGCCAUAAUGCUCGCUACCUUAAAUGUAUCGAUACAUGAGGGAAUGUACCUAUAUUUUUUUUCCUAGUUGCUUUCUGCUUCAAGUCUAUUGAUACAUUUGGACAAUGUAUUGAUAAAUGUUCAUCUUACCAUGAAUGUAUUGAUACAUUCCUGUCACGACCUGAUUUCCAAGCCGUGACCGGCGCAUGGACUCAAUGGACGUAGUCCAUGAAGCCCAAGCAAACCUAUCUGUAUUAUCCUGCUCAUUAUUCCAUCAAAGUUACUGAAGUCACAUUUCGUAAUUUCAAACCAAAAAAAUGCUAACCAUUUCCGACUUUUAGUGGCAUACCAAUCCAAAUAUACAUACAUUGUCUAAAAUAUAUGUCUUAACAAUUUACAUCAGGUUUGUCUAUACAUAUAAAAAAGAAGACUCAAUUUGUAACGAAGAGACUCAGACGAAUUUAUUGAAUGCCAAGACACCUACCAAGGGUCGAAUAUAUGAAGACACCUCGACCUAGUUACCAGCUGCCUCUUGAUCUGAAAAUAUGAAGUUGAAAAUGAUGAGUAUAAACCCAGUGAGUGAACAUAUGAAGGGAACAAGCAAUAUAAUAAGGAGAAGUUUGAAAUCAUAAUGCACUUAUUUGAAAACGAUGUACUUUAGCUUAAGUCCUUAUUAAAACCCUCAAUUAAACCCUUGGUUGAUAAAUCAUGUGACGAUAGAGAAUUUGUAUUUAACAUGAAAUUGGAGAAGUGGAAAAUAUGGCAAAAACCAGCCAAAUGAUAAGUGGAAUAGAAAGUUUCAUUCUCGCUGUAACUAGAAAUAGAGCAACAAGAAAGACUUCCUUUCAUCCCAAAUUAACCAUUUCACUACAAUGCAAAUCAAUUUGGAACACUAAAAAAAUGCUCAAGGUUCAGCAAGUAGGAUUUCACAUACAUUAUAAUCACACAUGUUAUUCUUAAAAUCUUUAUUGCAUUAAUACAUGUGAACAUAUGCAAACAUAUAUGUAUAUAUAUACAUCCACCGCCUCCCCAGCUCAUGUGCAUCCCCCCACAUCGUGCACAUAGCUGGAGUCAUCGUGUGCAUUCCCCUACAUCGUACACAUCUAAUGCCGUCGUGUACAUCCCCCCACAUCGUGCACACGGGCAAUAUCAUUAUCUGCUUACCUCACCACCGUCAUUACAAGUAUGUGCAUCCCGUCACAUCGUGCACACACACGGUUAUAUCCAUUACACAAUAUUAUCUACCAAUGUACUAUACAUAUAUAUAUAUAUAUAUAUAUAUCAACAUUAUACCAAAACACAUGGAUUCAUCACACUUUCCAUUUCUCAACAUAAAAACAUUUCAUAAAGGCUUGUUCCUGAGCAUUUUUUUUUUAAAGAGAAUUGGAUAAAUCAUUCAAAAUAUUUGUCCAAAUACAUUCACAUAUCCCAAAAUAGUUUUGACAUGCAAGUUCACUCACCUAUCUUUAUUGAUUCUUAAAGCAGCUCCAACUUCCACUAAUGCCCCGAAUGGUGAUGUGGGGUUUCAGUAGAGCAUAUCACACAUUAGCAUCACAAUCAACUCAAUCACAUAACUAUAAUUCUAAAAGCUAUCUCCUAAAUCAUGUUCCACUAGUUAUUCCUAACUAGCAUCCAACUACCAUCAAGUGGCUAUUUAUUUGCACUAUUAUAAUCACACCAAAUGAAUAAACUACCUUAACUACAAAACACUCAUAAAUCUAACUAUUAAUCAUUCUCAACAACUAAAAUAUCAACUCAAUUUCAAUGCUCACCUUGCUAGAUUUGCAAUUGAAUAUCUCCUCAAGAAUUCCCAAACUAUUAUAGAAGGUCUUUCUUUCUCUUUCUAAAACCCUAGUUAGUGAGAGAAAGUAUUGAUCUAAGACAUUUCAAGGGUUUUAAGGUGAAAGAGUGAAAAAGCAUAAGAGGUUCUAUAAAAAAUGCACAAAAGCAUGAAAAUGAAGGCUAACUUGAGAGAGUUAUGAAAGCUUGAAGAGUACUCCCAUGGAAGGUGAAGAAAUGUGGGAUAGAAGGAAGAAGAAGAAGAUGAAG